rnacentral:rRNA from 1 species
UACGGAGGUGGCUAGCGUUGUUCGGAAUUACUGGGCGUAAAGGGCGCGUAGGCGGCAUUGCAAGUCAGAUGUGAAAGCCCCGGGCUUAACUCGGGAACUGCAUCUGAAACUGCUUUGCUUGAGUUCUGGAGGGGGUAGUGGAAUUCCCAGUGUAGCGGUGAAAUGCGUAGAUAUUGGGAGGAACACCUGCGGCGAAGGCGGCUACCUGGACAGUGACUGACGCUGAUGCGCGAAAGCUAGGGGAGCGAACGGG